GACGAACGCUGGCGGCGUGCUUAACACAUGCGAGUCGAACGGAAAGGCCCUGCUUUUGUGGGGUGCUCGAGUGGCGAACGGGUGAGUAACACGUGAGUAACCUGCCCUUGACUUUGGGAUAACUUCAGGAAACUGGGGCUAAUACCGGAUAGGAGCUCCUGCUGCAUGGUGGGGGUUGGAAAGUUUCGGCGGUUGGGGAUGGACUCGCGGCUUAUCAGCUUGUUGGUGGGGUAGUGGCUUACCAAGGCUUUGACGGGUAGCCGGCCUGAGGGGGUGACCGGCCACAUUGGGACUGAGAUACGGCCCAGACUCCUACGGGAGGCAGCAGUGGGGAAUAUUGCACAAUGGGCGGAAGCCUGAUGCAGCAACGCCGCGUGCGGGAUGAGGGCCUUCGGGUUGUAAACCGCUUUCGCCUGUGACGAAGCGUGAGUGACGGUAAUGGGUAAAGAAGCACCGGCUAACUACGUG
rnacentral:rRNA from 1 species